rnacentral:misc_RNA from 1 species
GCUGGCUCGAUCGGGUAAAUCGAGGCUUCUAAUCGGUGUGAAAUUGUCAUAUCAUUCGCGAAUGGCUUUCUGUGGUGAGAAAUCACCCGAUAUAAUUGCCUGGUCCAGGUAGAAUUGCAGCUCAGUUUACGUUCUGUGGCCAACGAGACAUGGGAGCCCGUGUGUUAUCGGCAGCCGGCCUGCUGCUUUUGCUGUUUUGCCUGGGCACGAGAUCGUCGAUAAUAAAUACGAACAUCACCAGGAUAAGGAGAGUCCCUUUGAACCCAAGACAAA